rnacentral:rRNA from 1 species
GAUGAACGCUAGCUACAGGCUUAACACAUGCAAGUCGAGGGGAAACGGCAUUAAGUGCUUGCACUUUUUGGACGUCGACCGGCGCACGGGUGAGUAACGCGUAUCCAACCUUCCCAUGACUAAGGGAUAACCUGCCGAAAGGCAGACUAAUACCUUAUGGUCUUCACUGACGGCAUCAGAUGUGAAGUAAAGAUUUAUCGGUUAUGGAUGGGGAUGCGUCUGAUUAGCUUGUUGGCGGGGUAACGGCCCACCAAGGCAACGAUCAGUAGGGGUUCUGAGAGGAAGGUCCCCCACAUUGGAACUGAGACACGGUCCAAACUCCUACGCGAGGCAGCAGUGAGGAAUAUUGGUCAAUGGGCGAGAGCCUGAACCAGCCAAGUAGCGUGCAGGAUGACGGCCCUAUGGGUUGUAAACUGCUUUUGUAUGGGGAUAAAGUCAAUCACGUGUGAUUGUUUGCAGGUACCAUACGAAUAAGGACCGGCUAAUUCCGUG